UCCUAUGCUAUAAUGAUUGAGUAGAAAAGUGAAGACGGUGACUCCUCAUCUGAAAGGUAGGUGAUGCCUAUGGGCAACUCAUCAAAAUCUGACGGAAAGGAAGAGUCUAGUUUUUGACAGCCUUUGAGAUUGUACAAACUAUCUUUGGUUUUGGUACCUUUACCAUUGCUUUGAUUGGC
rnacentral:sRNA from 1 species